rnacentral:rRNA from 1 species
CCUACGGGAGGCAGCAGUGGGGAAUAUUAGACAAUGGGCGCAAGCCUGAUCUAGCCAUGCCGCGUGUGUGAUGAAGGCGCUAGGGUGGUAAAGCACUUUCGCCUGUGAAGAUAAUGACUGUAGCACAUAAAGAAACCCCGGCUAAAUCCGUGCCAGCAGCCGCGGUAUUACGGAGGGGGUUAGCGUUGUUCGGAAUUACUGGGCGUAAAGCGCGCAUAGGCGGGGUGGAAACUUGCGGGUGUAAUACCCGGGGUCUACCCCGGAAAUGCGCCCAAAACUCCCAGCCUAUAGGUCGUAAGAGGUGAUGGGAAUUCCGAGUGUAGAGGUGAAAUUUUUAUAUAUUUGGAGGAACACCAGUGGCGAAGGCGGCUCCACGGCUCGAUACUGACACGGAGGUGUGAAAGUGUGGGGAGCAAACACGAUUUUAUACCCCGUUAGUGCACACCCUAUACGAUAAAAGCCAGUGUUCGGGGAGCUUCUCUCGGUACGCAGUUAAC